UACGUAGGUGGCGAGCGUUGUCCGGAUUUACUGGGCGUAAAGAGCGCGCAGGCGGUCGUACAAGUCGCGUGUGAAAGCCCCCGGCUCAACUGGGGAGGGUCACGCGAUACUGUUCGACUCGAAGGCAGAAGAGGGAAGCGGAAUUCCCGGUGUAGUGGUGAAAUGCGUAGAUAUCGGGAGGAACACCAGUGGCGAAGGCGGCUUCCUGGCCUGUUCUUGACGCUGAGGCGCGAAAGCUAGGGUAGCAAACGGG
rnacentral:rRNA from 1 species